UACGUAGGGCGCAAGCGUUGUCCGGAAUUAUUGGGCGUAAAGAGCUCGUAGGCGGUUUGUCGCGUCGAAUGUGAAAACCCGGGGCUCAACCCCGGGCCUGCAUUCGAUACGGGCAGACUAGAGUUCGGUAGGGGAGUCUGGAAUUCCUGGUGUAGCGGUGAAAUGCGCAGAUAUCAGGAGGAACACCGGUGGCGAAGGCGGGACUCUGGGCCGAUACUGACGCUGAGGAGCGAAAGCGUGGGGAGCGAACAGG
rnacentral:rRNA from 1 species